UACAGAGGUCUCAAGCGUUGUUCGGAUUCAUUGGGCGUAAAGGGUGCGUAGGCGGCGCGGUAAGUCGGGUGUGAAAUCUCGGAGCUUAACUUCGAAACUGCAUUCGAUACUGCCGUGCUUGAGGACUGGAGAGGAGACUGGAAUUUACGGUGUAGCGGUGAAAUGCGUAGAUAUCGUAAGGAAGACCAGUGGCGAAGGCGGGUCUCUGGACAGUUCCUGACGCUGAGGCACGAAGGUCCAGGGGAGCAAAACGGGGAUUAGAAACCCCGUGUAC
rnacentral:rRNA from 1 species